UUGUCUAAGUGGAACUGGCUAUUGCCCGAACUAUCUUAUAGAGGCAGAGUCCUAAUUAUAAACAACCUGACGGCCUCUAUGUUAUGGCACAAACUGAAUGUGCUUGAGCCACCAGAUGACCUUAUUAAGGAGAUUCAGAGGAAACUGGUGGACUUUUUCUGGUCUGAUCAAAAGUGGAUUCCUCGUCAGGCACUUUAUCUACCAGUGAUUGAAGGAGGGCAAGGCCUAAUAGAUGUACGAAGCCGCAUAAAUGCUUUUCGAUUGCAAGCAGCCCAGAGACUAUUGUACGAGGAGAAUGGUGGGUGGAUUAAUGUUGCUUGUGCUCUUCUGCGGAAAACAUCUGGAUUAUUGUAUGAUAAACAGCUUUUUUUACUGAAAAGUGAUGAAGUGGAUUUGAAAGAGUUGACACCUUUUUAUAAGUCAAUGAUAACAGCUUGGAAAAAGACAUUUAUUAUACACAGAGAUAUUUUACAACCUGAGGACUGGAUAAGGGGAGAACCGCUGUUCCACAACCCAUUAAUAAGAACAAGGAUUUUGUCCUCUAAAUCUGUGGAAAGCUGUUUUGUGAAGGCUGGGUAUGUCAAGUUGGGAGAUCUGAGAAGUGGUGAUGACUGGAAAACAGCUGAGUCUUUGCAGAGUGUUACAGGGUUGAGAUCUCUUCGACUCAUGAGACGAAUAAUGGAGGACGUGUGGGCAGCUCUACCGGGGGCCUGCAGAGAGGCACUGUCACAGGACUGGGAUGGGCUCUAUACAUUUCCACCCAUCAAAGUAUCUGCUGCUGUGCAAGAGGAGAUGGAGGAAACUGGACAUUCAAUUUUAUCUUUUGAGUACCCCGAGUUGGGGAGUUUUCAAGAUAUUAAGAAGAAGGAAAUCUAUGUAACGUGUGUAAAAGUUAUGCAUCAGACUGUACUAAGAGGAGUGAAGACUUGGAGGUGGUCAGAAGUGUUUGGGACAGAGUUUAAGGCAUGUUGGAGGUCUCUGUAUAAGUUGCCUGUGGAGAAGCGUACUGCAGACUUGCAGUGGAGACUG
ensembl:lncRNA